AUUGAACGCUGGCGGCAGGCCUAACACAUGCAAGUCGAACGAGUGGCGGACGGGUGAGUAAUGCCUGGGAAACUGCCCGAUGGAGGGGGAUAAUUACCGGAAACGGUAGCUAAUACCGCAUACCAUCGGAUGUGCGCAGAUGGGAUUAGCUAGGAGGUGGGGUAACGGCUCCCCUAGGCGACGAUCCCUAGCUGGUCUGUGAGGAUGAACAGCCACACUGGAACUGAGACACGGUCCAGACUCCUCCGUGAGGCGGCAGUGGGGAAUAUUGCACAAUGGGCGCAAGCCUGAUGCAGCCAUGCCGCGUGUAUGAAGAAGGCCUUCGGGUUGUAAAGUACUUUCAGCGAGGAGGCGUUACUCGCAGAAGAAGCACCGGCUAACUCCGUGCCAGCAGCCGCGGUAAUAC
rnacentral:rRNA from 1 species